UAAAUGGAAGCCAAAAAGAGGCAUCUAACUGUUAAUUAGAAGAAUGUUUUUAUAAACCCAUUUAA
rnacentral:tRNA from 1 species